CAAAGCAAGCUAUAAGAUCAACAACAUAUUAACACAUAAUCAAUUUUAUUUUGAUUAUAUUUGCUUGAAUCUAAAAGUUAUUGCUGUGGUCAGCGUUUUAUAUGUUACUUUAAUUUUUUGUGAUAUAUUGUGCGUAAAGUCGUUAUGUGAAAAUAUAUAUAAUAAUAAAAUGUAAGAAUAUAUCUAUAAAUAUUCUCCAUAGUUGAUGACCAAGAAAAGUUGUUCAAAAACUGCGAAAUCACAGCAGAGAUAAAGAAUUCGAGACACGCGAUGCAGACUAAGCUUUUGUAACUUGGCUUCACUCCGACUGGCAUGAUUGUCUUUGCACCUGAAGCAAAUCUCGGCAUUACUUACACGGCUACAUGGAUUGAAGAAUUCGGCAUAGAAUUGAAAGAAGCAGAGUAAAGGCGAAGCAGCGUUCGACCUGAAACGAUUGGAGACCAUCUGAAACGGAGAAAAGGUACUGUCACACGAUGUACGGACAAUUCUAGGACAAGUGCGUGGUAAUGUUAAGAAAUCCGGACGAAAUCUAUUAAAAGAGUCGCUUGGUGGGGUCUCUUGCAUCUCUGUGGAGCAAUUUCUUUGAAGAUAGCAGCUUAAGAGUUUCGAUGACUUUGAGCGCAACCCUUCUGCAGACCUGGUCCAAUAUUUUCAGCCACCCCGACGCAUGAACUAUUAUUUAAGCCACAAAACUUUGACAAAUAUUCCCUUCAGCUAGAUUCUCUAUUGCGGAAGUCAGGGAUGAAAGUGUAAUCAGCAAAG